GACGAACGCUGGCGGCGUGCCUAACACAUGCAAGUCGAGCGGGGUUGAGGCGAGAGGUAACUCGAGCUUCUACCUAGCGGCGGACGGGUGAGUAACGCGUGGGCAACCUGCCUCAAGGUUUGGGAUAACAGCCCGAAAGGGCUGCUAAUACCGGAUAUGCCUAUGGCCUCGCAUGGGGCUAUGAGCAAAGGGGAAACCCGCCUUGAGAUGGGCCCGCGUCCCAUCAGCUAGUUGGUGAGGUAACAGCUCACCAAGGCGACGACGGGUAGCCGGCCUGAGGGGUGACCGGCCACACUGGGACUGAGACACGGCCCAGACUCCUACGGGGGCAGCAGUGGGGGAUCUUGCACAAUGGGCGAAAGCCUGAUGCAGCGACGCCGCGUGAGCGAAGAAGGCCUCGGGUUGUAAAGCUCUGUCUGGAGGGACGGAACAAAUAGACGGUACCUCCGGAGGAAGCCGACGGCGUAACUACGUGCCAGCAGCCGCGGUAAACCUGUAGUCGU
rnacentral:rRNA from 1 species